rnacentral:rRNA from 1 species
AGGAUGAACGCUAGCGGCAGGCCUAAUACAUGCAAGUCGAACGGGAUUGGGGCUUCGGCCCCAUGAGAGUGGCGUACGGGUGCGUAACGCGUAUGCAACCUACCUUGAUCAGGGGGAUAGCCCGGAGAAAUCCGGAUUAACACCGC